CGCGUAGGCGGUUUGAUAAGUCAGAUGUGAAAGCCCACGGCUUAACCGUGGAAGUGCAUUUGAUACUGUUAGACUUGAGUACCAGAGGGGAAAGUGGAAUUCCCGGUGUAGAGGUGAAAUUCGUAGAUAUCGGGAGGAAUACCGGUGGCGAAGGCGACUUUCUGGCUGGAUACUGACGCUGAGGCGCGAAAGCGUGGGGAGCAAACA
rnacentral:rRNA from 1 species